GAUGAACGCUGGCGGCGUGCCUAGUACAUGCAAGUCGAGCGAACAGAUAAGGAGCUUGCUCCUUUGACGUUAGCGGCGGACGGGUGAGUAACACGUGGGUAACCUACCUAUAAGACUGGGAUAACUUCGGGAAACCGGAGCUAAUACCGGAUAACAUUUGGAACCGCAUGGUUCUAAAGUGAAAGAUGGUUUUGCUAUCACUUAUAGAUGGACCCGCGCCGUAUUAGCUAGUUGGUAAGGUAACGGCUUACCAAGGCGACGAUACGUAGCCGACCUGAGAGGGUGAUCGGCCACACUGGAACUGAGACACGGUCCAGACUCCUACGGGAGGCAGCAGUAGGGAAUCUUCCGCAAUGGGCGAAAGCCUGACGGAGCAACGCCGCGUGAGUGAUGAAGGGUUUCGGCUCGUAAAACUCUGUUAUUAGGGAAGAACAAAUGUGUAAGUAACUGUGCACGUCUUGACGGUACCUAAUCAGAAAGCCACGGCUAACUACGUG
rnacentral:rRNA from 1 species